CCCAAAGUUGACUUCAAAUUGAUGAUCGAAAGGUGUAAUUAAUCUAUCGUUGACCAAAGAUUAACCUAUAACACUCCUCGGCUUUUGUAAAAUACAAAAUUUCAUUACUAUAUUAACAGCAUCAAAUUAAAGACCGAAAAUAAAACAUCAACUUUUUUUGAAACAACGUUAAAUUUGAAUCAAUUUUGCUCCGUGAUUUUUUGAUUUUUUUCUUGUAAGGUUUAUAGGUUUUUUGGUUUUAUUUUUGUUUCAAAUUUCAGAAGUCAGAUACUCUUUUUAAAAACCUCCGUGACAGUGGCACGUAACACAGAUUUUAAUUUUUUAUUAUUCUUUUUCCUCUUCGCUCGUUAUGCCUUCCACCUUUUUCAACACUGAAGACAACACCAGUUUCGACUUUGGUUCUCUCCAAAUUGAAGUCAACUUUUCAUCGUCUUCGCAAGACAAAAACCGACACUCGAGUGGACUCUCAUCCUCAGGAAGCAGCAGCACCUCGGCAACCUCAUUCCUCGGAGGCACUACUGAGCGUCCAUUCGAGGAAUCGAGAAGCCUGUUGGGAUCCGCGUCAGGAGUCGAGAACAAAGACUCCUCCGAAGUCGAUAAGUACUGGGCAAACAGUGGGUUUGGGAGUGUCGCAGAAUUUAAACAACUGCAUCAUUUCUGAAGAUCCCAGAACUUCUGGAACCCUUGCAGUUCCUGGAAAUAGGUUCUCGCAAGAUACUACAAUACUUCUGUCUCAGUAAAAAAAUUGUGCACAGUUUUGAUUAAAACUAAAUCAACCAAUUUAAAAGAAUAUAACUCAUUACCGAUUAGUGCUACGUAAUCAUUACGUAAUGUUGUGUGUCGUAAUUAAUGGAAAAUUCCUGCAGAAAGGCUUAGAGGCCUGUGGAGAUGUGUUGAAUUGUACUCAUUCAUCUUUGUACGAAAUGAAAGUUAUGUAUUUACGCACAUUUAAUCUUAUACAUAUGCCAUAAUUUAAUCUAUUUUGUAA